ensembl:lncRNA
UUUACUUUCAUUUCUUGUCCCUAUGAGAGUCUCGUCUCUACUCUGCACAGGAUAGCCACACAGUCUGCUCUUCUUUUUUUCUGCAGCAUUUCUUUCUGUGUGUGCUUAUCAAGUAUGCACGUGACCAUUCCAUCUUUCAGGUGGCUACAUACUGCCUGGAGCACAUUCCCUUUGAAACCAUCCUGUGGGAGCUUGUGGGUCUUCGUUUAUCAGCUGUUAGACAUAGCCACAGGAGCCAGAAGAAGUGAAAAUAGAACUCCUUCCAAGUCACUGGAAAACCCUCAGGAGUCCUUGAUAACAAAUGGGAAACAGCAGUGCUCGAAAGUGGAUUUCUUUUUACAGGCAAACACUCCGGGAGUCAUUAAAAAUUCCCCCACCCCCACUCCAUCUCUUGCCACCUCCGUCACCCCAUGGAGUCUGCUUCCUCUAUCAUCUUUCUGUGGUGCUGAAUGUAUACGGCCUCUAAACACUCUGGAAUGAAAGUGUUGUGACGGGCACACAGCUGGUCCUGAAAAGGCACAACACUCAGACAAGCAUGUGAGAUUGCAUUCGUCCCUGCUGGGGAGCCCCAAGCUUUAGAGCAUCUGCUGCGUUAGAUGACCUGGGCAAUGCGUGGAAGAAGGCUAGCGCCUUGCUGCCCAGAGUAUGGUCUGUGACAUCACCUGGGAUCUUGUUAGAAAUAUAGAACCUCAGGCCCUGCCUAAGGCUUUUUGAAUCAAACUCUGCAUUUUAGCAAGCUCUUCUGGUGAUUUGUGCAUAUAUCACAAGUAUAGUCAGCAUCUGCUAUUUUUGUCUGCCCUGCAUUUCUUACUUGGGGCCUCCCACCCCUUCUGGAAAGAACUACUCCUUUCUCCCUACAUUCCUGCGAUUCUGAUGGGGCGGCCAAUUACAGGGCCUUAACUUUUUGGCCACAGAGGUGGGCACAUAAUUCAGCUCUGAACAUUCCGGCUACAAUGAUUAGUUCAGGGUAGCGACAGGGGACCCAAGGGGUCAGGCAUUCUUCCCUGUGUUUCUUCACGCUGGGUUCUUCCCCAGGCAUCUACUCCCUCUGGAGUCAUGAACCUGGGAAGAGGUAAAUGUGGAAUUGUCAACGGCUACUUUCCCAGCCAAGUGGAGAUUCCCUGUCUACUAUAUGUGAGAAAGAGAGUAAUGCACGCAAAGAGAAAUAGAGAUAAGGCAUGGAGAUCUGGUGCCCUGUUGCUACCUGUGGUUUGAUUAUAUGAGCUCCUAAAAUGUCCUUUCUCCUUAGCCUAUUUUGAGUUAGGUUUCUGAUCCUUACGAAGGAAGCAAAUAUUUAAAUGACACAGACAGAUGUAAGAAAAGGCAGGUUGCUGUGAGAAGACAAAGCUUUGCAAGUUCAAAUACAAACUUAUAACGCAAGAAAACAAUGGCAAAUUCUGUCAUCUUGUAUUUUCCUCACCUCGAUUCUCCAUCUUUCUUUAUACUGUAUAUAAAAAAUUUCUCAUAAGAUUUUUGAAAUGUU